rnacentral:tRNA from 3 species
GGGCGGUUAGCUCAGCGGGAGAGCACUACGUUGACAUCGUAGGGGUCACAAGUUCGAUCCUUGUACCGCCCACCA